CGUCGAUGGUUCAUUCAAAUUUCUGCCCUAUCAACUUUCGAUGGUAAGGUAGUGGCUUACCAUGGUUUCAACGGGUAACGGGUAAGUUCAUAAUAUCUUAUGCAUUUAUAAGUCGAUGAUGCUGAUGAAAUUUUUAGGGAAUAAGGGUUCGGUUCCGGAGAGGGAGCCUGAGAAACGUAAGGGGAUCUCCAGAAAUAAAUUUUAUGAAUCAAAAUGCUAACAUAAAUUUACAGGGCUACCACAUCCAAGGAAGGCAGCAGGCGCGCAAAUUACCCAAUCCCAAUACGGGGAGGUAGUAAGUUUAUACCAAGCAUAACUCUAUGUUAUGAAUUUUAUGCUAACCAUUUCAUAGGUGACAAUAAAUACUGAUACUGGGCUCUUUCGGGUCUAGUAAUUGGAAUGAGUACAAUUUAAAUCCCUUAACGAGGAACAAUUGGAGGGCAAGUCUGGUGCCAGCAGCCGCGGUAAUUCCAGCUCCAAUAGCGUAUAUUAAAGUUGUUGCAGUUAAAAAGCUCGUAGUUGAACUUUGGGUUUGGCCGCUUGGUCCAUCUCACGAUGCGUACUUUGUGGCCGAACCUUUCCUUCUCGGAAAUCUUAUGCCCUUCAUUGGGUGUAAUGA
rnacentral:rRNA from 1 species